rnacentral:rRNA from 1 species
GUCCACGCCGUAAACGAUGGAUGCUAGUCGUCGCGGGUAUUGACCCCUGCGGCAACGCAGUUAACGCAUUAAGCAUCCCGCCUGGGGAGUACGGCCGCAAGGCUAAAACUCAAAGGAAUUGACGGGGGCCCGCACAAGCGGUGGAGCAUGUGGUUCAAUUCGACGCAACGCGCAGAACCUUACCUGGGUUAAAUCCACCGGAACCCUUAAGAGAUGAGGGGGUGCCCGCAAGGGAGCCGGUGAGAAGGUGCUGCAUGGCUGUCGU